rnacentral:rRNA from 1 species
UAGGGAAUCUUCGGCAAUGGACGAAAGUCUGACCGAGCAACGCCGCGUGAGUGAAGAAGGUUUUCGGAUCGUAAAACUCUGUUGUUAGAGAAGAACAAGGACGUUAGUAACUGAACGUCCCCUGACGGUAUCUAACCAGAAAGCCACGGCUAACUACGUGCCAGCAGCCGCGGUAAUACGUAGGUGGCAAGCGUUGUCCGGAUUUAUUGGGCGUAAAGCGAGCGCAGGCGGUUUCUUAAGUCUGAUGUGAAAGCCCCCGGCUCAACCGGGGAGGGUCAUUGGAAACUGGGAGACUUGGGUGCAGAAGAGGAGAGUGGAAUUCCAUGUGUAGCGGUGAAAUGCGUAGAUAGAUGGAGGAACACCCGUGGCGAAGGCGGCUCUCUGGUCUGUAACUGACGCUGAGGCUCGAAAGCGUGGGGAGCAAACAGG